UCUUUUACUCUUCCUUCUCUUUUCUUUCUGCUCCUUCCCUCUUACUAAAUUUAUGGUUCAGGGUCCUACAGAAGUCAGGGAAAAGGGGAUGGGUAGAAGAGAAAAAGGUUGGGGGAUGAUUUCACUUAGAAGAGUUUUACUGUUCUCUUGUUUGUUAAAUAUGCUGACGCAAACCCCACAGCUAGUCCCCUCCUGCCACAGAGCCUCUACUGCCACCUGAGGCCGGCACUGCCAUCUCUUAUUGACCUCCUGCAAUCCUCUUACAGCUCCUGCUCCAAUGAUUGUCUCCGGUGGAAUCAUCCAGGGAACUUCAGCUGGAGAUCCCUUUCAUGCUGCCUACUUGUCUCAUUCUUGUCAUGCGGAUCCCUGGCAAAUGCAUCAGCUUUCUCCACUCCACUAGCUGUCCUGUGACAAUCCUGUGAAGCUUCACCUGCUAUUUGGAGAGAACAAGGAAGUGCCUGUUAGCAUCCUUUUAUACUCUCUGUGAACAUGAUGAAGAACUAACAGAGUUCUCAGCCUCUAGGCUUGUGCGUCUCUCUGUCCUGUCACAGGACUUUGCAAUGUGUGGAUUUUAAAAGCUCAAGAAGGCCAGGCCUGGACUUUGACAUCCUGAUCCAUACUACACAGCUGCCUUUGACGUGACACAGAUGCCUACCUGACCAGUCUCAUCUGAAUUACUAGGAGGAAAAGAGAAGGGAAGAAAGAGAAGAAGAAGAGGAGAAUGUACAGAAUUUCAGUAGUUUCAUGGGGUGCUGUGGUACAGUCAGAGGAGUUGGAGUUGCACCCCCUCUUACAACUGGAAAAGAAAAUUUUGGGCAAACAUUGCAGCAUGAAGGUCAGACAGGUCAUGGUGUGUUAAAAAUCCCUCUUCUAUCACAUUAAAUAUUUAGACAGUGUAAGUUGGCUCAGUAGCAGGAAUUGUGGCUAGAGAGGUAGGCUGGCCACAAUCUGUGAAGGACGGUGAGUUUCUAUCAUGUAGAGAAGCUGUGUCUGCUGCAUUGGGUGCUCAGUAAAUAUUUAAUUAAUGAAUUUUGAAUGGAUGCUAUAUAUCAACCAUUAUCAGUAAGGAGUGGCCUGGAGAGAGAUAGAGCCAAAUUAGAAACAUGAUUUCGUUCCAGAGCAAAUUUCCUCACCUUGGAAACUGGAAAACAAAUUAUUCUUUAAGCUUUGUCUCCUACCUUUUGGGAAUCAUUCCUACUUCCUGCCAUCUUUUAAGUUAGAUGCUCACCAACCUUUCUUCCUACAAUACUUUACACAUAUUUGUGUCUCUACACUGAAACAUUGUUUUAUAUACAAAAUGUGAUACAGAAAACAUCUGCAAAUACUUUAAGCCAAUAUGUAAGGGGGUGCUUUUUAAAUAUUGUGGUUUUAUCUCUAGUUAUUGAGUUUUUAUGGAACAAACUAGCUUUGAUCUUAAGCACAGGGGUGGGAGUGUUGUGCAUUGAUUUAGCCAAUAAGAGGCACAAAGUAAGCAAGCCAGAGGACAGUGGUACAGAGAUGGAGUGGUCAGAAACCGCUCUCAUUCUAAGAGACUCAUUUUUCUAAUGUGAUAAUUGCUAUUUAUUUUAUAGGCUUGCACAUGACAUAUCACCACCACUGAAACUGCUUCUAAUUCUGCUUUUAUUAUUAACCUCACUUUUCAAUUCUUUAUCGACCUUGGGCAAGACUAUUUUCCUCUUCAUAGCAUCAAUAGAAAAGCUAGUUCAAGUUUGCUUUAAAAGGAAUUAAUCUCAAAGCUAUUUCAACAUUUUAAAAGGACUUCAUAUGAGAAUGUUAAUAGCUGCUAUUAGGCUUGGAAUCAGUCCUUCCCUAAGAGGGAAACAAAAGUCCAGGUUUAGUGUCAUUUUAUCAGAGAAACUAAUAGGAUGGCUGUAAAAAGUUGUCAUAGAGCAGCUUGAUGCAGUAGAAAAAUCCGACAGAGACCAGCAUGCCCAGCUAUUGCAUUUUCUAGCGGUGUGAACUUAGAUAAAUAGCUAAACCUCUCUGUAUCUUGGUUUCUUCAUCUGCAAGAUGUAACUACAUUUUAUUUAUUGUUUUAUGUCAGUUUCCUGAACCUAUUCUCUGAAACAUUUAAAAGGAAGGAAGGAAGGAAGGAGGGAAGGAAGGAAGG